AGAGCUGCUGGUUCACAGUGGCAACAGAUGGAUGUGACUAGGACCAGAGGGACCAUGGAAGGAGCAGUAGAGAAAGCAGAUCUUAAAUCCCAGUGAAAGCCUCCUGAGUGGUUACAAAGACAAAGUCUACAUCCUCAAUCUGUGUUUCUCAAUAUGCUAUGUUUUUUGCAGUAUUUCCAGAAGGAAUUAUUAGCUGAAGUGCGGAAGAAGUGGACCUCAGCUGGAGGCCAAGGUUUCAGAGCUGGAUGCACUUGGGUUGCUGAGUACUGAGAGAGUGAUACAAGACAGAGAGACAGCUGCAAGUCACUGGGAUGGUGGUGAGUGUCCAAGGAGGACAGCAUUGGCCUCCUAACCUGAGUGUACUGAGGUGUGGUCUUGGAAAUAUCGCCUGAUGCAUAGUUGUCCUUAGUUACAUUUUCUCCAGCCAUUUCUUUUUGUAUGCUGUCAGAUAUCCUUUGAAUAAAUUCCUUUCCUGCUUAAUAAGCUACUGCUGGUUUUCAGUGAUUGCAUCCAAGAACUCAGACUGGUAAAAUCCUAACGUUUAAUUGGUUUAUUGUUAGUUACUUAGCUUCUUUGAAUUUUUAAUAUAAGAUGUGCUUCAAUGAAUUAGCCACAAAGCUUUUCCCUCCAUCUUUAAGAUUAUUUUCUUAACAUACAGGUUCCACAGUGGAAUUACUGAAUUUUAUAAUAGCUCAUGAUACACAC